rnacentral:tRNA from 1 species
GUCUGGCUGGCUCAGUUGGUAGAGCGUGAGACUCUUGACCUCAGAGUUGUGAGUUCAAGCCCCAUGUUGGGUA